rnacentral:tRNA from 1 species
GCCCCCGUAGCUCAGCGGCAGAGCGGGAGGCUAUGCCUCCAGGUCGCUGGUUCGACUCCAGCCGGGGGCA